CUAAACGAGGAUAAAUUUGAUCUGAUUGCAACCUCAAAAAAAAAAGCUAAAACAGUGCCA
rfam:Formosa sp. Hel3_A1_48, complete genome.